rnacentral:rRNA from 1 species
CACGUAGGGGGCGAGCGUUGUCCGGAAUCAUUGGGCGUAAAGAGCUCGUAGGCGGCUCGGUAAGUCGGGUGUGAAACCCCCAGGCUCAACCUGGGGACGCCACCCGAUACUGCUGUGGCUAGAGACCAGUAGGGGAGUGUGGAAUUCCCGGUGUAGCGGUGAAAUGCGCAGAUAUCGGGAGGAACACCAGCGGCGAAGGCGGCACUCUGGGCUGGAACUGACGCUGAGGAGCGAAAGCGUGGGUAGCAAACAGG